UACGUAGGGUGCGAGCGUUGCCCGGAUUUAUUGGGCGUAAAGGGCGCGUAGGCGGCUCGGCACGUCCGUUGUGAAAUCGCCCGGCUCAACUGGGCGGGGUCAGCGGAUACGGCGUAGCUGGAGCAAGCUAGGGGGCAAUGGAAUUCCCGGUGUAGUGGUGGAAUGCGUAGAUAUCGGGAGGAACACCAGUGGCGAAGGCGGUUGCCUGGAGCUUUGCUGACGCUGAGGCGCGAAAGCGUGGGGAGCGAUCCGG
rnacentral:rRNA from 1 species